GACGAAGGAUGCAAGCGUUAUCCGGAUUCAUUGGGUUUAAAGGGAGCGUAGGCGGAUUGGUAAGUCAGUGGUGAAAUCCUAUCGCUUAACGAUAGAACUGCCAUUGAUACUGCUGAUCUAGAGUACAGUUGCCGUUGGCGGAAUAUGACAUGUAGUGGUGAAAUACUUAGAUAUGUCAUAGAACACCGAUUGCGAAGGCAGCUAACGAAGCUGUAACUGACGCUGAGGCACGAAAGCGUGGGGAUCAAACAGG
rnacentral:rRNA from 1 species